AUAAACGCUGGCGACGUGCCUAACACAUGCAAGUCGAGCGGGGGAUAGUCCUUCGGAUGAUUCCUAGCGGCAGACGAUGUGAGUAAAAACGCGAGAAUCUGCCCUUCAGUAAAGAAUACUCCCGAGAAAUCGGGCUUAUACUGUAUAUUUUCCCUUAGGGUAUAAAGAUGGCCUCUUUGCUAUCGCUGAAGGAUGAGCUUACGCGCUAUCAGCUAGUUGGUGGGGGGUAAAGGCCUACCAAGGCUAUGACGGCUAGCCGGCCUGAGAGGGUGUACGGCCACGCUGGAACUUAGAUACGGUCCAGACUCCUACGGGAGGCAGCAGUGGGGAAUAUUGCGCAAUGGGCGAAAGCCUGACGCAGCGACGUCGCGUGAAGGAUGAAGGUCUUCGGAUUGUAAACUUCUGUUAAGUGGGAAGAAAAGCUCCACCAAUAAUACGGGUGGGGGAUGACGGUACCAUUAGAGAAAAGCACGGCUAACUUCGUGCCAGCAGCCGCGGUAAGACGAGGGGUGCGAGCGUUAUUCGGAAUUAUUGGGCGUAAAGGGUGUGUAGACGGUAUGUUAAGUCUGUCGUUAAAUCUCCCGGCUUAACCGGGAAUCAGCGAUGGAUACUGAUGUGGCUAGAGGGUGGAAGAGAGAGAAGUGGAAUUCUCGGAGUAGCGGUAAAAUGCGUAGAUCUCGAGAGGAACACCAAUGGCGAAGGCAGCUUCUUGGUCCAUUUCUGACGUUGAUAAACACGAAAGCGUGGGGAGCAAACAGGAUUAGAUACCCUGGUAGUCCACGCCGUAAACGAUGAUCACUAGACGUUAAUUUCGCUCUGCGAGAUUAGUGUCGUAGCUAACGCGUUAAGUGAUCCGCCUGGGGAGUACGGUCGCAAGACUAAAAACUCAAAGGAAUUGACGGGGGUCCGCCAAGCGGUGUGGAACAUGUGGUUUAAUUCGAUACUACGCGAGGAACCUUACCUAGGCUUGACAUGUUCGCGACAGUUGUAGAAAUACAAUCUUCUGGGCUUCGGUCCAGACGCAUACACAGGUGCUGCAUGGCUGUCGUCAGCUCGUGUCGUGAGAUGUUGGGUUAAGUCCCUUUAACGAGCGCACCCUUGCCAUCAGUUGCAACCACGCAAGUGGAGCACUCUGGUGGGACUGCCUGGGAAACCAGGAGGAAGGUUGGGGAGGACGUCAAGUCCGCAAUGGUCCUUAUGUCUAGGGCAACACACCGGGUUACCAAUGGCCAGAACAGGGGCUGCAAUGCUGCAAAGUGGAGCUAAUCCCUAAUCUGGUCUAAGUUCGGAUUUGAGGUCUGCAACUCGACCUCAUGAAGUUGAAAUCGCUAGUAAUCGCGCAUCAGAACGGCGCGGUGAAUACGUUCUCGGGCCUUGUACACACUUGCCCGUCACGCCAUGAAAGCCUGUCUGUACCCGAAGUUGUUUUAGCUAACCUGUAUAAGGGGGGCGGGCACCUAAGGUAUGGGGAGUGAUUGGGGCG
rnacentral:rRNA from 1 species